rnacentral:rRNA from 1 species
GACGAACGCUGGCGGCGUGCCUAAUACAUGCAAGUCGAACGCACUCUCGUUUAGAUUGAAGGAGCUUGCUCCUGAUUGAUAAACAUUUGAGUGAGUGGCGGACGGGUGAGUAACACGUGGGUAACCUGCCCUAAAGUGGGGGAUAACAUUUGGAAACAGAUGCUAAUACCGCAUAAAACCUAACACCGCAUGGUGUAGGGUUGAAAGAUGGUUUCGGCUAUCACUUUAGGAUGGACCCGCGGUGCAUUAGUUAGUUGGUGAGGUAAAGGCUCACCAAGACCGUGAUGCAUAGCCGACCUGAGAGGGUAAUCGGCCACACUGGGACUGAGACACGGCCCAGACUCCUACGGGAGGCAGCAGUAGGGAAUCUUCCACAAUGGACGAAAGUCUGAUGGAGCAACGCCGCGUGAGUGAAGAAGGUUUUCGGAUCGUAAAACUCUGUUGUUGGUAGAAGAAUGUAUCUGAUAGUAACUGAUCAGGUAGUGACGGUAUCCAACCAGAAA